rnacentral:lncRNA from 1 species
GUAGUCUAUAGCAGGACACUCUUUGGGAGUUUUAUGAGCCGCACAAAGAAAAAUCCAUUGUUCAGUUGCUGUCAUCUGAGUACAUGUGUCUGGGUGACAUUCACUCUGAAGCUUGACAGCUAGUCCAUUGAGCUCAAGGCAGAAUUGCCUUAGAUGUUCAUACUUCCAUACGCCCUCAUCCUGGCCCUCAGGAGGUUCAAGGAUCUUAUCAAUGUUGGAACAGUCUGCCCUUAUGUUUUGCUGGAUGUACUGCUGAACAGCUAAUGUACUGUCCAUCUCCUCAAAGGACUCAUCAGGCCAAUUGUAGAAAUCCUGGGCCUUGGUGCCCGGCCUGUUCCGCCUCAGCACUGCCGUUCCCUCCGC